rnacentral:tRNA from 1 species
GUCCCUGUAGCGCAAUGGAAAGCGCGUUGGACUUCUAUUCCAAAAGUCGUGGGUUCGAAUUCCACUUGGGAUA